rnacentral:lncRNA from 1 species
UUCGAGGCACUUGAAUUGAUGGUAAACUAUUUGGGAGUUGACCCAAGUGAGGCCUAAGAGGAGCUUGAUGCCACGAGAGGUGUUCAUGCCCGGUUUUCAUACCUUGAGGAACUAUACAAAUACCACCUGGUUGUGGUAGUGGACGCCGAAGGUGAUGACUAACAGGUUUUGUGUCCGCAGAUAAUGUGCAUUGGUAUUAUACUUCCUGUACUUGGUAGCACGACAAUAUUUA